rnacentral:tRNA from 1 species
GGAUGUAGCUUAGUGGUAGAGUGCUUGCCUAGCAUGCCCAAGGCCCUGGGUUCAAUUCCCAGCACCA